UACGUAGGGGGGCAAGCGUUUGUCCGGAAUCAUUGGGCGUAAAGAGCGUGUAGGCGGCCAGAUAAGUCCGCUGUGAAAUCUCGAGGCUCAACUUCGAGCUGUCGGUGGAAACUAUCUGGCUAGAGUCCGGAAGAGGAGAAUGGGAAUUCCUGGUGUAGCGGUGAAAUGCGCAGAUAUCAGGAGGAACACCGGUGGCGAAGGCGGGUCUCUGGGCCGAUACUGACGUGAGGAGCGAAGCGUGGGGAGCAAACAGG
rnacentral:rRNA from 1 species